rnacentral:rRNA from 1 species
AACGUACGCUGGCGGCACGCCUAACACAUGCAAGUCGAACGAAGUAGCAAUACUUAGUGGCAGACGGGUGAGUAACAUGUAGGUAUCUGCCCUUUGGCCUGGAAUAACACGAGGAAACUUGUGCUAAUACCGGAUAAGUCUUUACGGAGAAAGCUUUAUGCACCAUUGGAUGAGCCUGCACUUGAUUAGUUUGUUGGUGGGGUAAUGGCCUACCAAGACUGUGAUCAGUAGCUGGUCUGAGAGGAUGAUCAGCCACACUGGGACUGAGACACGGCCCAGACUCCUACGGGAGGCAGCAGUGGGGAAUAUUGGACAAUGGAGGCAACUCUGAUCCAGCAAUGCCGCGUGUGUGAUGAAGGCCCCUAGGGGUUGUAAAGCACUUUCAACGGUGAAGAUGAUG